rnacentral:rRNA from 1 species
UACGGAGGGUGCAAGCGUUAUCCGGAUUCACUGGGUUUAAAGGGUGCGUAGGUGGGCUGGUAAGUCAGUGGUGAAAUCUCCAGGCUUAACUUGGAAACUGCCAUUGAUACUAUCAGUCUUGAAUACCGUGGAGGUCAGCGGAAUAUGUCAUGUAGCGGUGAAAUGCUUAGAUAUGACAUAGAACACCAAUUGCGAAGGCAGCUUACUACGCCUAUAUUGACGCUGAGGCACGAAAGCGUGGGGAUCAAACAGG